AACUUUUAACAACGGAUCCCUUGGUUCUAGCAUCGAUGAAGAACGCAGCGAAUUGCGAUAUGUAAUGUGAAUUGCAGAAUUCAGUGAAUCAUCGAAUCUUUGAACGCACCUUGCACCCUUUGGUAUUCCGAAGGGUAUGCCUGUUUGAGUGUCAUUAAAUUCUCAACUUCGAAAGACUUUUGUCUUUUUUGAAGCUUGGACUUUGGAAGUUUGCUGGUAUCACUAUCUGCUCUUCUCAAAUGCAUUAGCGGAACUGUGAAGGACCAGCUUUGGUUUGAUAAUCCUAUCUAUGCCGUCGCUGUGGACUUGUGUGUUCAGCUUCUAAUGGUCUUCGGACUGUCUCCUUGUUGAGGCAUACACUUUUAAGCUUGACCUCAAAUCAGGUAGGACUACCCGCUGAACUUAAGCAUAUCAAUAAGCGGAGGCU
rnacentral:misc_RNA from 1 species